rnacentral:rRNA from 1 species
AGUGAACGCUGGCGGUAGGCCUAACACAUGCAAGUCGAACGGCAGCACAGUAAGAGCUUGCUCUUACGGGUGGCGAGUGGCGGACGGGUGAGGAAUACAUCGGAAUCUACUUUUUCGUGGGGGAUAACGUAGGGAAACUUACGCUAAUACCGCAUACGACCUACGGGUGAAAGCAGGGGAUCUUCGGACCUUGCGCGAUUGAAUGAGCCGAUGUCGGAUUAGCUAGUUGGCGGGGUAAAGGCCCACCAAGGCGACGAUCCGUAGCUGGUCUGAGAGGAUGAUCAGCCACACUGGAACUGAGACACGGUCCAGACUCCUACGGGAGGCAGCAGUGGGGAAUAUUGGACAAUGGGCGCAAGCCUGAUCCAGCCAUACCGCGUGGGUGAAGAAGGCCUUCGGGUCGUAAAGCCCUUUUGUUGGGAAAGAAAAGCAGCAGGUUAAUACCCCGCUGUUCUGACGGUACCCAAAGAAUAAGCACCGGCGAACUUCGU